rnacentral:rRNA from 1 species
UACGUAGGGGGCAAGCGUUGUCCGGAUUUAUUGGGCGUAAAGAGCGUGUAGGCGGUUUGGUAGGUCCGCUGUGAAAACUCGAGGCUCAACCUCGAGACGCCGGUGGAAACCAUCAGGCUAGAGUCCGGAAGAGGAGAGUGGAAUUCCUGGUGUAGCGGUGAAAUGCGCAGAUAUCAGGAAGAACACCCGUGGCGAAGGCGGCUCUCUGGGACGGUACUGACGCUGAGGCGCGAAAGCGUGGGGAGCGAACAGG